AUUGAACGCUGGCGGCAGGCCUAACACAUGCAAGUCGAGCGGAUGACGGGAGCUUGCUCCUUGAUUCAGCGGCGGACGGGUGAGUAAUGCCUAGGAAUCUGCCUGGUAGUGGGGGACAACGUUUCGAAAGGAACGCUAAUACCGCAUACGUCCUACGGGAGAAAGCAGGGGACCUUCGGGCCUUGCGCUAUCAGAUGAGCCUAGGUCGGAUUAGCUAGUUGGUGGGGUAAUGGCCCACCAAGGCGACGAUCCGUAACUGGUCUGAGAGGAUGAUCAGUCACACUGGAACUGAGACACGGUCCAGACGCCUACGGGAGGCAGCAGUGGGGAACAUUGGACAAUGGGCGAAAGCCUGAUCCAGCCAUGCCGCGUGUGUGAAGAAGGUCUUCGGAUUGUAAAGCACUUUAAGUUGGGAGGAAGGGCAGUAAGUUAAUACCUUGCUGUUUUGACGUUACCGACAGAAUAAGCACCGGCUAACUCUGUGCCAGCAGCCGCCGCCG
rnacentral:rRNA from 1 species